rnacentral:rRNA from 1 species
UUUGUAGAAGGUGCUUCGGAUGCCCCUCGCGGUCCAUGUCCCUUGGAACAGGGUGUCACAGAGGGUGAGAAUCCCGUAUGCGACCACGCUGAAGUCCAUGUGAAGCCCUUUCGACGAGUCGAGUUGUUUGGGAAUGCAGCUCUAAAUGGGUGGUAAAUUUCAUCUAAAGCUAAAUACAAGCCGGAGACCGAUAGCGAACAAGUAGAGUGAUCGAAAGAUGAAAAGCACUUUGAAAAGAGAGUCAAACAGUACGUGAAAUUGUUGAAAGGGAAGCGCUUGCAACCAGACUCGCUCGCGAGUGCUCAGCCGUCCCUCGGGUCGGUGCAUUCUCUCGUGAUCGGGCCAGCGUCGGUUUCGGUGGUCGGAUAAAGGCCUUGGGAACGUAGCUCCCUUCGGGGAGUGUUACAGCCUGAGGUGUCAUGCGGCCUGCCGAGACCGAGGACCGCGCAUUAGCUAGGAUGCUGGCGUAAUGGUUGCCAGCGACCCGUCUGAAAACACGGA